CCUCCUCUUCUUGGUAGAGGUUGGAGGUGCGGUCAGAUCCCUGUAACAUAAGGAGGCAGAGGGAAAGGACUCCUGCCCCUUUAGUGUCAUGUUUUCUAUGCCCAUGGUUUCCAGUCCACUGGCUCUGUCCUCAAGCAUUGGCACAUGG